AACAGUUAGUCAAGAACUGCAGUUGGUCCAUGUAAUAUCAUCAGUCAACUAUGCUGGCAUUUGUGCUGAUAGUCAGGCAUGAACUAGCGAAAUACUGAAAGAGUUAGCAGUGGCAUACAAGUAGUAUCCCAACCCUUCACCUGGAAGAAAAACAAAAUACAUUUAAUCACAUAAUAGUCACCACCACAACAGUUUCUACUUAAACCAUUGGACAAUCGAGGCCCUUGUAAAAAAACAUUGUGACCCCUGUUAUCAGAUAUGCUUUGAGAGAUUUGUGUUGAUCCUGGUUCUCCUGGAAAGUCUUUUCCGAAUGGUCAACUCCUGGGAUACUAAUCACACCAGAAAGAUCAAAAUGUCUGAAAAGGAGUGGGAGGAACGUAUCCAGUCAUUCUGAAUCCGAAAAGCUGAUCCAGCCGUCUCUAUCAUAAUAAUCACUGAAUUGACAUAAUUCAGCAUGACAUGGCUAUCAGAAGAGAUUUUCAUAUUAAUAAACUUUCCAAGUUCUAUCUUUAAAAAAUCUGAUUUUUGCAAUCAGCAAAAAUCCAAUUUUGUGGAAAAUUGCUCCGUUUUAAUUCUGAGACAGAAGAGUAUGAUUUUAAAAUCUUUUGAUGGGUGCAUUGGAAAUUCCAAUCGACAUGGAAUCAACAGCUUUUUACUCACUAUACUUCUGUAAUACAAACAAUUUGAAUAAAGACCUGCUAUAAAACUC